CAUGAGGGUUAACAACAGACAUUAAUGGACACAUGAAGGUUAAUAACAGACAUUAAUGGACACAUGAAGGUUAAUAACAGACAUUAAUGGACACAUGAAGGUUAAUAACAGACAUUAAUGGACACAUGAAGGUUAAUAACAGACAUUAAUGGACACAUGAAGGUGAAUAACAGACAUUAAUGGACACAUGAAGGUGAAUAACAGACAUUAAUGGACACAUGAAGGUUAACAACAGACAUUAAUGGACACAUGAAGGUUAAUAACAGACAUUAAUGGACACAUGAAGGUUAAUAACAGACAUUAAUGGACACAUGAAGGUUAACAACAGACAUUAAUGGACACAUGAAGGUUAACAACAGACAUUAAUGGACACAUGAAGGUUAACAACAGACAUUAAUGGACACAUGAAGGUUAAUAACAGACAUUAAUGGACACAUGAGGGUUAAUAACAGACAUUAAUGGACACAUGAGGGUUAACAACAGACAUUAAUGGACACAUGAGGGUUAAUAACAGACAUUAAUGGACACAUGAAGGUUAAUAACAGACAUUAAUGGACACAUGAGGGUUAACAACAGACAUUAAUGACUCUGGU